rnacentral:rRNA from 1 species
UACGUAGUGUGCGAGCGUUAAUCGGAAUUACUGGGCGUAAAGCGUGCGCAGGCGGUUUUGUAAGCCCGAUGUGAAAUCCCGAGGCUCAACCUCGGGUCUGCAGUCGAUACGGGCGGACUGGAGUUCGGCAGGGGAGACUGGAAUUCCUGGUGUAGCGGUGAAAUGCGCAGAUAUCAGGAGGAACACCGGUGGCGAAGGCGGGUCGCUGGGCCGAUACUGACGCUGAGGAGCGAAAGCGUGGGGAGCGGACAGG